GCCAGGUCUGCUGGCGUGCACCUGAAGUCCCAGCUACUCAGGAGGCUGAGGCAGGAAGAUCCCUUGAGCCCAGGAGUUCAGGGUCAGCCUGGGCAAUAUAGUAGGACCCUGCUUCUU
rnacentral:sRNA from 1 species